CAUGUCUGUGUUGUGGAGGUUGUAUCAUGUCUGUGUUGUGGAGGUUGGAGUGAUGUUGUAUCAUGUCUGUGUUGUGGAGGUUGUAGUGAUGUUGUAUCAUGUCUGUGUUGUGGAGGUUGGAGUGAUGUUGUAUCAUGUCUGUGUUGUGGAGGUUGGAGUGAUGUUGUAUCAUGUCUGUGUUGUGGAGGUUGUAGUGAUGUUGUAUCAUGUCUGUGUUGUGGAGGUUGUAGUGAUGUUGUAUCAUGUCUGUGUUGUGGAGGUUGUAUCAUGUCUGUGUUGUGGAGGUUGUAGUGAUGUUGUAUCAUGUCUGUGUUGUGGAGGUUGUAGUGAUGUUGUAUCAUGUCUGUGUUGUGGAGGUUGUAUCAUGUCUGUGUUGUGGAGGUUGUAUCAUGUCUGUGUUGUGGAGGUUGUAUCAUGUCUGUGUUGUGGAGGUUGGAGUGAUGUUGUAUCAUGUCUGUGUUGUUUAGGUUGUAGUGAUGUUGUAUCAUGUCUGUGUUGUGGAGGUUGGAGUGAUGUUGUAUCAUGUCUGUGUUGUGGAGGUUGUAGUGAUGUUGUAUCAUGUCUGUGUUGUGGAGGUUGUAGUGAUGUUGUAUCAUGUCUGUGUUGUGGAGGUUGGAGUGAUGUUGUAUCAUGUCUGUGUUGUGGAGGUUGUAGUGAUGUUGUAUCAUGUCUGUGUUGUGGAGGUUGUAGUGAUGUUGUAUCAUGUCUGUGUUGUGGAGGUUGUAGUGAUGUUGUAUCAUGUCUGUGUUGUGGAGGUUGUAUCAUGUCUGUGUUGUGGAGGUUGUAGUGAUGUUGUAUCAUGUCAGUGUUGUGGAGGUUGUAUCAUGUCUGUGUUGUGGAGGUUGUAGUGAUGUUGUAUCAUGUCAGUGUUGUGGAGGUUGUAUCAUGUCUGUGUUGUGGAGGUUGUAGUGAUGUUGUAUUAUGUCAGUGUUGUGGAGGUUGUAUCAUGUCUGUGUUGUGGAGGUUGUAGUGAUGUUGUAUCAUGUCAGUGUUGUGGAGGUUGUAUCAUGUCUGUGUUGUGGAGGUUGUAGUGAUGUUGUAUCAUGUCUGUGUUGUAGUGAUGUUGUAUCAUGUCAGUGUUGUGGAGGUUGUAUCAUGUCUGUGUUGUGGAGGUUGUAUCAUGUCUGUGUUGUGGAGGUUGUAGUGAUGUUGUAUCAUGUCUGUGGUGUUUAGGUUGUAGUGAUGUUGUAUCAUGUCUGUGUUGUGGAGGUUGUAGUGAUGUUGUAUCAUGUCUGUGGUGUUUAGGUUGGAGUGAUGUUGUAUCAUGUCUGUGUUGUGGAGGUUGUAGUGAUGUUGUAUCAUGUCUGUGUUGUGGAGGUUGUAGUGAUGUUGUAUCAUGUCUGUGUUGUGGAGGUUGGAGUGAUGUUGUAUCAUGUCAGUGUUGUGGAGGUUGUAGUGAUGUUGUAUCAUGUCUGUGUUGUGGAGGUUGUAGUGAUGUUGUAUCAUGUCAGUGUUGUGGAGGUUGUAGUGAUGUUGUAUUAUGUCAGUGUUGUGGAGGUUGUAUCAUGUCUGUGUUGUGGAGGUUUUAGUGAUGUUGUAUCAUGUCAGUGUUGUGGAGGUUGUAUCAUGUCUGUGUUGUGGAGGUUGUAGUGAUGUUGUAUCAUGUCUGUGUUGUUUAGGUUGGAGUGAUGUUGUAUCAUGUCUGUGUUGUGGAGGUUGUAGUGAUGUUGUAUCAUGUCUGUGUUGUGGAGGUUGUAGUGAUGUUGUAGUGAUGUUGUAUCAUGUCUGUGUUGUGGAGGUUGUAGUGAUUUUGUAUCAUGUCUGUGUUGUGGAGGUUGUAGUGAUGUUGUAUCAUGUCUGUGUUGUGGAGGUUGUAGUGAUGUUGUAUCAUGUCUGUGUUGUGGAGGUUGUAGUGAUGUAGUAUCAUGUCUGUGUUGUGGAGGUUGUAGUGAUGUUGUAUCAUGUCUGUGUUGUGGAGGUUGGAGUGAUGUUGUAUCAUGUCUGUGUUGUGGAGGUUGGAGUGAUGUUGUAUCAUGUCAGUGUUGUGGAGGUUGUAGUGAUGUUGUAUCAUGUCUGUGUUGUGGAGGUUGUAGUGAUGUUGUAUCAUGUCAGUGUUGUGGAGGUUGUAGUGAUGUUGUAUUAUGUCAGUGUUGUGGAGGUUGUAUCAUGUCUGUGUUGUGGAGGUUGUAGUGAUGUUGUAUCAUGUCAGUGUUGUGGAGGUUGUAUCAUGUCUGUGUUGUGGAGGUUGUAGUGAUGUUGUAUUAUGUCAGUGUUGUGGAGGUUGUAUCAUGUCUGUGUUGUGGAGGUUGUAGUGAUGUUGUAUCAUGUCAGUGUUGUGGAGGUUGUAUCAUGUCUGUGUUGUGGAGGUUGUAGUGAUGUUGUAUCAUGUCUGUGUUGUAGUGAUGUUGUAUCAUGUCAGUGUUGUGGAGGUUGUAUCAUGUCUGUGUUGUUUAGGUUGUAGUGAUGUUGUAUCAUGUCUGUGUUGUGGAGGUUGUAUCAUGUCUGUGUUGUGGAGGUUGUAGUGAUGUUGUAUCAUGUCAGUGUUGUGGAGGUUGUAUCAUGUCAGUGUUGUGGAGGUUGUAUCAUGUCUGUGUUGUAGUGAUGUUGUAUCAUGUCUGUGUU